AAGGAGGAUUGGGGGCUGUUUUGUUGUAUGAGAGAAAGUCAAAACACUCUUUGGCUCAAUGUGUUUUCUACUGGAAACAUGGCAGAGCCUGUGGCUGGCACAAGGAAGACUUCAGAAUACACUAGCUGUUUCUUGAGGGAAAUCACUUUUCUUUGCAUCAACGGAGGAAAGAGGAGCUACAAAAACUUCGAGGCCCAACUGUUUUGCAGCAGAAUAUUGAACAACCUUUUCACUAGAGUGCUUCGAAUCCAUGAAAGGAUAUGACUCGAAAACUCUUCUUUGAUUUGUGAAGAAACUUCGAGGGAUAAACUAUAGAAACUCAGGUCAGCCACUGGAUAAAGUUAGCAUCAAUCCAGCCAGGUACUGUUCAUGGCUUUCUGAGAACACCUUUUU
rnacentral:lncRNA from 1 species